CUGCACCGUCUCUAGAAAAUUUCUACCAGACCCCUCUUUUGUCUUUUCAUAUGCCCUGUUCCCCUCAUUUCUCCUUCUACUUCUGCCUUUAUUUGCGAAAAUUUCCUUCAAUUGCUUAUUAGUGCUUCAUUUUCUCAACUGUUCCCCAUGUCCAUCAUUCCUCUCGUCUCUUUCCGAUGCUACCAGACUCCUGGCUUUCCUCGCUCCUUCAAAGACUACCCGUCGGAGUCACAUUUUUAACCCUGCUUGAACUGCUUGUAGAUAGGCUAUUUCAUCUACCGUGAAAAGUGUAAGUACUCUCUCAUUAACUAUCAUUUUGACACCCAAGUUUUCUCCUUUUGAGUUCCUACAGAUUAUACACGUUCCUGACUUCUUCCUUUGUUUGUUGUAAGCCCCAUCAAAGUUUAUUUUGGUUAUACUCUAGUCCGAUGGUUUCCAGCGUUCACUGUUAUUAAUCUUCCCUGUCCCUAAAUGCAUGCUGCAAAGUCUCUGUUCCCUCCCUGCAUCUUGGACACAGCGCCGAGUUACUGGUUUUUCUGUUGUAUGGGUUUCCAAAUGUAGGAAUAUAAUUGUUGUAUAUUCUCCAGUUUGUAAUUUUAAUUUUGUCUGAUAGAUCUAUAUUCCAAUGGUUGUUGUAAUAAUAUCAGCUUUUUUCGUUAUUGUUA